UAGGGAAUAUUGGACAAUGGGCGAAAGCCUGAUCCAGCAACGCCGCGUGUGCGAUGACGGCCUUCGGGUUGUAAAGCACUUUUAGAGGAGGUGAGAAAGGACAGUAUCCUCUGAAUAAGCCUCGGCGAACUACGUGCCAGCAGCCGCGGUAAAACGUAGGAGGCUAGCGUUAUCCGGAUUUAUUGGGCGUAAAGCGCGUGCAGGCGGUUUAUCAAGUUGGAUGUGAAAGCUCCUGGCUUAACUGGGAGAGGUCGUUCAAAACUGAUAGACUAGAGAAUGGUAGAGGGAGGUGGAAGUCCGGGUGUAGUGGUGAAAUACGUAGAUAUCCGGAGGAACACCAGUGGCGAAAGCGGCCUCCUGGGCCAUUUCUGACGCUAAGACGCGAAAGCUAGGGUAGCAAACGG
rnacentral:rRNA from 1 species